GGCCACACGGAAAUUAUGUGGGGUCGAACCUGCCCAGUGACCAACAUGAAAAUGUAGUUAAACGGCCGCUGUAAUGGGUGCGAAGGUAGCAAAAUCUAUUGCCCUUUAAUUGGGGGCGUGUGAAGGGUUUGACGUAGGUUAUUCUGUCUCGUUGGAGAAUAGUGAAAUUUACUUUCGGGUGCAAAGGCUCGAAUAAAGGGGCUGGACGAGAAGACCCUGUAGAGCUUUACCUUUUAAGGUUUGAUUGGGGCAAUCAAAAAGGAUAAAAAACCUUUUAAUCUACAGAGAGUGAUGGUGAGCCGCACAGAGCGAUUAGUAGAAAAAGUUACCGCAGGGAUAACAGCGUAAUCUUUCUUGAGAGUCCAUAUUGACAGAAGGGUUUGCGACCUCGAUGUUGAAUUAAGGCGUUCGUGGGGCGCAGUAGUUCCAAGGGAUGGGUCUGUUCGACCUUUAAAGCCUU
rnacentral:rRNA from 1 species